UACAGAGGUCCCAAGCGUUGUUCGGAUUCAUUGGGCGUAAAGGGUGUGUAGGUGGCGCCGUAAGUCGGGUGUGAAAUUUCGGAGCUUAACUCCGAAACUGCAUUCGAUACUGCGGUGCUUGAGGACUGGAGAGGAGACUGGAAUUCAUGGUGUAGCAGUGAAAUGCGUAGAGAUCAUGAAGAACAUCGGUGGCGAAGGCGCUCUGCUGGACCAUAACUGACACUCAGGGACGAAAGCUAGGGGAGCGAAUGGG
rnacentral:rRNA from 1 species